rnacentral:rRNA from 1 species
AAAGAAGAACACGUAUGAGAGUAACUGUUCAUACGUUGACGGUAUUUAACCAGAAAGUCACGGCUAACUACGUGCCAGCAGCCGCGGUAAUACGUAGGUGGCAAGCGUUAUCCGGAUUUAUUGGGCGUAAAGAGAGUGCAGGCGGUUUUCUAAGUCUGAUGUGAAAGCCUUCGGCUUAACCGGAGAAGUGUAUCGGAAACUGGAUAACUUGAGUGCAGAAGAGGGUAGUGGAACUCCAUGUGUAGCGGUGGAAUGCGUAGAUAUAUGGAAGAACACCAGUGGCGAAGGCGGCUACCUGGUCUGCAACUGACGCUGAGACUCGAAAGCAUGGGUAGCGAACAGGAUUAGAUACCUUGGUAG